ensembl:lincRNA
AUGUGGGCGAGCGCUGCCUGUGGGGGAAGAGCCCUCCCUCAGCCCGAGACACACAGCUCUGAUAUCACCGCAAACAGCAGCUGCGUCUGUUCGCGCUGCUUCGUAAACAGCUCCAGUCCUGCCCAGGAAGGGGCCGGCGCCUGGCGUUCUGAGGAAGCGCGAGCGGCUUCCUCCUCCCGUGGUUCACCCUUCGGCAGCGGAAGGAGGGGGGCGCCAGGCCUCGUGAACCCGGACCCGAGUGGCCCUCUGGAGGGGACCUCGAUUAGCUGCGCAGGUCCAGAGGCGGAAGCGUCUUCGCAACGGAAAGUGUUCGGACUGCGCUGUAGCCUCGCCGGACGACCAACCACUCACUCAAUGAGCUGCCUGCUACCACCCUUCCCGGGAGAGGGAAAAGCUCCACAAUUCCCCGAUCCACAUUCUCCCCGCUCGGCCCCCUCGGAAGCGGACUUCACCCUCCCUUACGGCAGGCGAAGCCACGUGAGAAGGAAUUAUGGGAGCUCCAGUCCUGUGAAGCUCCAGCUGCACCCAGCACCAGCCCGUUGUCUGUCAACACAGCACAGUGAGGCCUCUGUGUUCUCUGGAAAGCGAUGCAAUUCUGCAAAAGAUUGGUUUACACUUGAGUUUUCCUCCUCUAUCUCUGCAGCAAUGCCAGCUCUGAGUGUCUUCUCCCAGCCCACCUUUAAGUCUUCUUUCAACACCACACCUCUCGGAGGGUCUGAGAUGGUGGACGAGAUUCCUCGCCAGCUGCCCCUGGAAGACCUUCAUCUAUCAUGCUACGCUGUUCACCAGAGCGGCCAGAAAAUGCCACAGCCAGAACCAGAACCGUUAACAAAAGAGACACAUCGGACUAGCCUGAAGUUCUCUUGGUCCUUGGAAUACCGGCAAGCAACACCUCAGGUUAGAUUCCUGGAGAGCAGGACACGACUGGACACAGCGUGGUGCUCACACACCUCCUGGCCAACUGAACUGUCGCGUGGAGCCGUUUAAUUCCCACCUGCAGGUGCUGGAGUCUGAAAUGUUUGAUGCUGACUGUGAGUGAGUGUAGCCGGACCAGGCCAACCUCUGUGACAGAUUAGUGAGGAUGCCCUCAUUUAUCAGCUUACAGCUGGUCCAAAAAGCCCAGAAAAUUGGCUGCUUCUAAGUAACUCAUCCACACACGAGGCAGACGUGGAGGGUUCUAGCACUGAUUCUUGCCAGUGUUCAGAUUUGUGCCGUGAUCCUCUGCGAACUCCCGAGAAGGCUGUCACGUGACCCCAGCACAAUCUAAAUCACCUAAGACAAAUAUGCAAACAGAAAGCUUCCAAAGGCUCACACCGUCCAUACUCCCCAAAAUGGUGCCAGUGGAGGGAGACGGAGCCCACCGCCCAGGUGACAGGCCAAAGAGAAGCAGCAUUUGUUUGUCUGCAAGGCUUGUCAACCGGACAACCUGAAUCUUUCUUCUGGUUGCGAUGAAUCACUGAAGUCAGCUGGGUGCGGGAUUAUCUCAGUGGUUCUGCCAGCUGCCUCACAAGUGCAAGGUCCUGAGUUCGAUCCCCGGUACCAAAACAAAAAACAAACAAACAAAAAAAUGUGAAUCAUUGAAGCCAGGAAAUAAAGUGACUCUGCCAAGCAAGAAACAAGGCCACAUCUUGUUGUGUAAUAGUCACAACAGGAUUUUGAUAUCAUUGACACCAAGGCCCUGGAAGAGGAGGGAGAGGAAAGAGGGCUGUGACUGCUCACUGAGCACCUACUUUGUGCCAGCUGCUUCCAUUUAUCCAGUUUAAAAAAAAAAUCCCAGAUGUGAUUAUUCUCUAGUGUAGCUCAUGAAGAAACAGAAUCAAAGAUUAAGGGAUUUACCCCAAAUCAUGCAGGUCGAAUAUGGCAAAACAAAACUGAGCACUAAGCCCUUGCUUCUUCCUAACAUCAUGCUGCUUGGUGGCGUUUCCUGGAAAAAACUGUGAAUUAUCUGAAUUCAUUCAUUUCCCGAAGAUUUGGUUUCCUCCCUGUACAUAACCAGGAAACAGCGCGUGAUCAAAAUGCAGAGCUGUUCAUGGAAGUGUGGUUGAAAAAGAGUCCAAGUCAGCUGAGGUAGGGGAUUGGACAGGGGCCAGGUCUUGGUCACUGAAAAUGAGGGUGACCUUGGGGUUCACAUUCGGCAUCGCCCCUCAUUAGGAUGGGGCAGAUUUACAUAUCACAGAGACACCUGAAGCAAGAGGACAUGGAAGAGAUACACUGGGAAAACGCACAGCAAAACACCAGAAACAACAUCAAUAUCACAUACACGGGCGCACACACACACACCAAAAACCAACUAAAAAAUAAAAAUAAGAAAAUAUAGGAAAACACAAAAAAAUGACUUUAUGGACAUAUGUAAAAAUUAAAUGAAAGAUACAAAUUUCCAGAACAAUAUAAUUUAUUAAGCCUCAAGAAGAAAUGGAAAGUUUGAAUGGUCCUAGAAUUAUAAAGAAAUUGAAAUAGUAUUAAAAGCCCAGCCACAACAAAACACAGGCCCAGACAGUUUCUAAAACAUUCACGGAACUGAGGUCAUAACAACAACAACAACAAGAACGAAAACUUCCAGCGCACAGAGAGAAAAAGAAUGCUCUCCAAUUCAUCCUGCGAGCUCUGGAUAACCUUCAUUUAAACAUCAGGCCAGGUCAGGCAAAGAAAGGAAAAUGGACUUCAGGUAUCCAAUCUCAUUCAGAAACACAGAUGGAAAGUCCUUUUAAAAAUUAUCAAAAUGGAUCCCGCAAUUGGGGGGGUGUAAGUAAUGUUAUAUGAUUCCAAGAGUAUAGGGAUGGAUAGACAUCAUAACAAUCUAUGUGUGUCCCCGUGCUGUGCAGCGUAGUUUUUUCCGGGCCUACACAGUGACCGCUAACCCGCUGAGAUUUCUGAUGUUUCCCUGGGCCUCUGGCCACAGCAGAUCACUGAUGCUUAGGAGGACUCCGCCUGGGCCCUUGGACCAUGUCUUGCAGCACAUCUGAGAGCUGAUGCUAAUGAGUUGGCUGCGGCCAGGGCUGAUGGUGCCAGAACGGCCAGCCCUGGGGUCGGAGGGGUGGGACCGCCGGGGAAGAGCCGCCUCGUGAGCAACAGCUCAGUCACCUGCCUCUGUGAGUCCUGCACACUGGAGCUGACAUGAGCAUCCGGGGUCGGCAGGUGGCCCCACACCAGUGCCUGGAGGGCACGGAGGGUUUGUGUCUGAGACCCUCCAGCUUCCGAUUCUGCCUGAGUCUCUUCCGUGCAGAGCCAUGAUAAAACCGUGGCCAGAAGUGCCGCUUUCGCCUGAGACCUGUGCGUCUACCCAGGGAGGCCAAGGGCGUCCAGCUCCGGAAGGGACUUGCAGCCCGCUGGUCUGCAUGGGGCUGGGGCCGGAAGUUCAGAGCCUUAGGUCUCCUGGAGGGUGCCAUCCUGAACCGCAAUCGCAGCUAACGCUGCCAUCUCACCAUGGUAACUGGAUGAGGAAAAGCAUUUGUGGGUCUCAACGGGUGCAGAAAGGGCAUGGAUAAGAUUCCUUAUUCACCUCAAUUAAGUAAUAAACCCAGUGAGCUGGGGAUUUAGCUCAGUGGUGCCGCCGCCUGCCUCACAAGCACAAAGUCCCGAGCUCUACCCCCGGUACCAAAAAAUUAAAAAUAAAAAACUUUAAAAAAAAACCCUAAUAAAAUAGAACAAGAUUCUAGAGAACGUGAAUAGUGUAAACAUAAAAAUAUUCAAAGUAUUGCCCUUAAAAUGGGGAGCAAGACAAGAGGUCACUGUCACAGCUUUCUCCCCCAGAUUAUAGAAAAUCAUAUAAUAACAAGAAUCAUUACAAAGCAUAAAAAUUAGAAAGGAAGAAACAAGUGGACAGUAGGAUUUUCAUAUGUAAAAUCCUAAAGAAUGUAAAGAUGAAGCCGGGCAUGGUGGCGCACACCUGUAAUCCCAGCACUCAGCACUCAGGAGGCUGAGGCAGGAGGAUCACUGUGAGUUUCAGACCAGCCUGGGCUACAUAGUGAAUUCCAGGUCGGUCUCAAUUACAUAGUGAGACCCUGUCUCAAAAAAAAAAAAAAAAAAAAAAAAAAGAUGUAUUAUUUAAAAUAGAAAACUAGUUCAGCAGGAUAGCUGUCUAUAAAAGCUGGCAUAAGACAUCAACUGCAUUCAGGUAACAGAUUAGUUUAGGGACAAAAUGCCGAAUGGUAGAAAUGUCCCAGAAGCUUGGGUACAACACGAAGCUAUUUUCAUGGAGCUAAAAAAAACCAAAACAAACAAAUAAAAAACCAGGGUAGAAUAAUAAACAAACAUACAUGUGAGAUAAAAAAAUUUUUCUGCAUCACAACCACAAAAGAGAAAAUUCACACUGUAUUAUUAUUAUUAUUAUUAUUAAUUUUUUUUUUUUUUUGGUACCGGGGAUUGAACUCUGGCCCUUGUGCUUGCAAAGCAGGUGGCAGAACCACUGAGCUAAAUCCCUGGCCCUACCAUAUUAUUUUUUAAAAGCCCAGGCUAUCUGGGUGUGGUGGUACACCCGUGUCAUUCCAGCACUUGGGAAGCUGAGGCAGGAGGAUCGCUGUGAGCUCAAGGCCAGCCUGGAUUACAAAGGGAGACCUUGACUCAAAAAAAACAAAACCAAAACCAAAACCCCAGGCUAGACACAACCUAGUUGUUGAAUGAGGAAAAGCAUUUGUUGAUCUCAACAGAUGUAGAAAAAGCAACAACCUAGCAGAAGCAACCUAGAAACCUAUAAACAACCUAGUAGUGAACAAAAUGUAGUUUAUCUGUACGAUAAAAAGAAGUGUUUACUGAUAUUUUCAACGGCAUGGAAGACUCAGAAACGUUACAACAGCAGUGCGGGGCUGGGGCUGGUGGUGGCACAGAGCACGGAGCAAGGUCGCACACAUUCCUGGAAACCUCAGGCCAGUACCCUUCCUAGGGAUCCCUGCACGCUGUUUCCUAGUCCCCCAACCCAGCCGGUGUCUCCUCUCUCCCACCUCACUCCCACCCCAGUGUCUUGCCUUGGUGUAAACUCUCAGCCUUCUUCAUCCAGCCACGGAGGGAGUCUCUGAAGUCCCCAGGGAGGUCCCUCAGCGUGCACAGGAAGUGUUUCAGACCCGCGGUGUUUCCAGCCCCUCCCAGGAAGGGGCUCAGCCUUUGUGUGGCACCAAGGCACACCUUCCUGCUUGGCUCACGAUCCCCAAUGCAGCGAAAGCGCUACCUGAAAAGCCGAGGCGCUGUUACUGAGAG